AUAAGUUUGAUUCUGGCUUGAAUUGUUAAUUAUUUUAAAUUAAUUAUAUGCUUAUAUAUUAAUUAUUUUUUUUUGCAGUAAUUCAUUUUAUUAAUAUUUUUAUUCUUAUUUUGAAAUUUAAUUAAAUGGGAUUAAAUUUUGUGCCAGCAUUCGCGGUUAUACAGGUUUUUUAAGUUAAUAUUUUUUGGUUAAUUAUAUUUAUUUUUUAGUUGAUUAAAAUUUAUAUUUAUUUAGGUGGAAUUUAUAUUUAUAGUUAAAAUCUCUUUUAUUAAUAUUAAGUCUAAUUUUUAAACUAGGAUUAGAUACCCUAUUAUUUUUUAUUUAAAUUUUCCCCUGAAUAUUAAUAGUUAAGUUCUAUAAAACUCAAAGAAUUUGGCGGUAAUUUAUCUUUUUAGAGGAACCUGUAUUUUAAUUGAUACACCACAAUAAUUUUUACCUACUUUUAUAUUUGUAUAUCGCUAUAUAUUGGAGUGUUUUAUAAAGAAAUUUUCUUUUAUAUUAAUAUUUUAUAUUAGGUCAAGGUGCAGUUUUAUUUAGGUAAAUAUGGGUUACAUUAUUUAUAUUUAUAUUGGAGGAAUAAUUUAUAAUUUUUUGGAAAUAGGAUUUAUUAGUAAUUUUAAUAUAUUUAUUAUUUUGAAUUUAGCACUAAAUUAUGUACAUAUCGCCCGUCACUCUCAAUAAAAUGAGAUAAGUCGUAACAAAGUAGUUUUACCGGAAGGUGAAUCUAGAAUGUU
rnacentral:ncRNA from 1 species